GUUCCUUUUUGUUCUCCACAUAACUGCGGUGGAGAAUGAAAGAUAAAUUUCAGAAUAUGAGAUCAACUCAAAGAAGCAAUAUGAUGAAGUACUGGAUUAAAAUAGACUACAGCUUCAUGAUCCAAAAUAACAAUCACUUGUACAAACAAGGUAUGGCAAUUGUGAUAAAAAAAUCCAAGUUUUUUGUUAUGCUCGUGACCAUAUAUAUCUGAGAAUGUACAUGCAUUUCCAGUCUAUCAUCCAAAGCCCCAAAGCAUUCCUAAGGUAAUAGUAUAGAAUUUAAGAUAUUCUAAGGGAAAUCAAUUUGUAUGUCAUUUGAUUCAUGUAAAUUCAGCAUGGUUAUUUUAGUUUCACCAGGUAUAAAAUUUCAUUUUGGUCCUUAUUACCUCCUUAGACCAUAAGCAGAAUAAAAGUAAUGGCAAAGGGAGAGGGAAAAAACAAUGAAAUUUUAUCUGUACUUACCAAGUUAUCCUUUGCUUAAUAACA
rnacentral:misc_RNA from 1 species